UAAGGCAGGCAUUUCAGCUGGGGAUGCAGGUGUUGGAGAGUACCCCAGACUGACUGCUGCUAGCUGGGGCCAAAAUACCAUGAAACAUCCCCAAGUUUCUAAUGUUGGGGUGUCCUGUGUCCUCUCCCAGCCAGAAUGGUGUCUCAGUUUUCAUCAUGUCCCUGUGAGCUGUGGCCUGGCACUCCUGUGAUGGAAUAGGGUGCUCUGCUGCCUGUCAGCAUCCAAGAACCUUUCUAAAGAGCCUUUUCCUUUCCUCUGUGGACCACCCAAAGUAUUUCACUUUUUUGUGACCUAAAUUUUGUCAAGAGACGAGUAACUAAAUUUUGGCUUGCAUUCAACAACUCCUAAAUGGCAGGGACUUUGCACUUCAGCUGAUCAAAGUGAUGCAGCCUGUAAAUUCUUCCCAAGCAUCCCCACAUCUGCAGAGCUUUAUCUGUAACACUGCUUCAAGCCAUUGUUUUGCCUUUUUUUUUCAAAGCACAGGUUUUGAUGGAACACUGCUGGGGAAGAUUUUCCUCAAUCCAGCCUGGAAUUUCUGGUCUAAAGAAGAGAAAUCAAGCCUCAUCUCCUGGGAAUCCAAAAGUGCUUAAGCAGAGCCUAUUAAGUGUGAGCAGUGAAAGGAGACAGCAGCACAGGGAGAGUCAAACACACUCCAUGGCUGGAAUGCUGUGCAACAGCACAGAGUGGAUGAGAUGGAUAAUGCCCAAAGGAUUCUUGCAAAAUGAUCCAGAGUGGUCUGGGUUUACUCAGAUUUACCCUGGAUAAUGAAUGAAAACAAAAAAAACCCUAAAGACACUUGGAAAUAUAAAAAUCUAAUAAAGGACUUGACCAUUGGGAAGACAAACAAAACAGGGAAGUCACUGGAAAAGCAUAAGGUAAAUUAACAGCUUUGCUUUAUGGUACUGUACAGAGAAUAAAGAAAGAAUAAUUUUAAAUUGCUAAUUUAAAACAUGAUGGUGCCAUUAAAGCAAGUGUAAAUCAACGUGGUACAAGCUGAAA